rnacentral:lncRNA from 1 species
GAUAGUGAAAAUCGAUACCAUUCAUUAAAUUCACAUAUCUUCAGCUAUAGUUUGUAUGAAAUAGCGAUACAGACAAUUAAGCGUACCUAAGCUGAUUAAAUAGUAUCCCGGGUAGAAUUAGUAUACCCAGUUGCACAAACCUGUAAACAUAAUAUUUGAAAUCGUUGUUCACAAUUUCGAAAUAUUUAAAUGGAGACGCGAGAAUGAAGUUUCGAAAUGUAAAAUAUGAACUAUAUUUUUCAUUUAACUAUCCUGUUAAUCAUGUAUACAAAGCCUACUUAGUGUAAUAUUAAAAGGUCGAAAUAGUUUAAAAUCCUAAAUACAUCCAGCGACAAAAAUAUUUUCGAUACCUGUUCACACAUGAUGUACGCGGACAGAUAUUCUAUACUAAGAUAUUUAGGCGACUGCCCUCUCUUCACCUAGAAAUGCAGUACGCAUUACCGAUAUUAACAAUGAAUCUCUACACAUUAUCAAGUUCCAAAUGAACUUGUAUCCCUUCAGGUGUCCAAGUUAGUAAAUAUCGUACUUUGAACUCUGUCAUACAGGUAAAUAAAAUAAUUUUGUCGCUUCAUGUAACUAGGUGAGAGACAAAGGAAAAUACAUGCCGGUUACGCCUUAAUUAUCUAUGUAUUUGUGUUGUUGCAAAUAUAAAAAAUAGCACAGACUAGUUUAUAAGAAAAUCUAGAAAUCGCUG